CGCCACGGGCUGCAUGGGCAGCGCUCGCGCCCCGCCGCUGAGCCGCCGGGGAGCCGUCCAGGCUUCGAAUCCCACCACAGCAUGUUCCGAAGAGAUGAUUGGAAGAUGGAAGUGGAGGGUUAAAUAAUGAAAUGCAGCUAACAUUUCGGAAAGUUUCUAAAAGUUGUACAACAUGCCCUACAGCUACCCUUUAAAUCUCCAAAUCAAAUGAGUUCCAGGUGGAGCCUCUGGGAGGUGAUGAGGUCAUGAGAGUGGAGCCUCAUGAAUGGGAUGAGCACUCCUACAAAAAGGAUUCCAGAGAGCUCCCUUGCUCCUUCCACAGUGUGAGGACACAGCGGGAAGGCUCUGUCUAUGAAUGAGGAAGUGAGUCCCCACCAGACAUUGAAUCUGCCGCAUCUUGAUAUUGGACUUCCAGUCUCCAGAACUGUGGGCAAUAAAUGUCUGUUGUUUAUUACCUGUUCAGUAUCUUUGGUAUUUUGCUAUAGCAACCCAAAUGGACUAAGAAAACACUAGAGGCCAUACCUAAUAAAAAUAUUGACAUCAC
rnacentral:lncRNA from 1 species